GGACAAGGCCUCCAGGCUGGGGGUGUCAGACACACAGCAGCGAGGGUGUCUUGCCCAGUUCUCCCAUGCGGCCGUUGGAGCCCACACGUGGCUGACCUGUCAUGUUUGUAGUGUUCUUGGACCUCAGGGCCUUCGUCCUCUCCAUUCUAAGUACAGAAAGACAUUUGACUGACAUGGACUCCCUCAGGUGUUUUGCAAUACGCAAUACAUUCUCAUUGACUCUGGUCACCCUGCUGUGCACUGGAUGUGAAAACCUCUUCUUCCUGUCCAUCUCAGACUUUGGUCCUUUGAGCAACAACUCUCCAUUCUCUCCCUCUUUCCCACCCCCACACCUGAUACCCAGCCCCUGGUCACCAUUGAUCUACUCGCUACUUCUACGGGGUCAACAUUUUUCGAUCAAGACUUCCGUAACUUCAUGUGGAAUUUGCCUUUCUGAGGUGUGCAUAGACAGAGGCAGGCCUGCAGCAGGUGAGACGCAGACUUCUGCAAAGGAAGUGCAUCCAUCGCCCCAUUCACUGAGUGCUAACGUCACGCCCCCCUCAGAGUCAUUGCCCCAUUUCUUGUUCAUGGAAAACGCUUAAGAAAGGCUCUGCUGGCUCAUCUCAUUGGCAAGAAAACCAAAGUUAAAGAGGCUGGUCCAGGCCCUGUGGCUUGUGCCUGCGUGGGAGGAGCAGGUUGUGGCCCAGGGCCUCUGGGACUCUAUGCAUGUGCUUGGCCCCUGCCCCUCACUGCUCCUCCCAGAGACCUGCCUGGGCCAGAGCAGAAGAGCCUCCUGCAGGGACUGGGAAGCUAGAGAGGGCCUCUAAUCAAAGGACGAUGUCCCUGGGCCCCCUCGGGGACUUCACCUGAAAAAGCAGCUCCUUGGUGUCGAUGUCAUACACCAGGCAAGUGUCAUUUUCAUCUACCACGGCCAGCUUCUUACGGGAGGCACUCAUGUCCAAGCAGCGCACAGCUGUGGCCUGCUUCAGCAGGACGAUAGCAAAGAGAUUGUCCACGAAGAUCUUCAGGAUCUGGCAAAAUUUCAGCGAAAACAGUGUCAGUCACCAUGGCAACAAGAUCCUGGCCCACUGCCAGGCCGUUGGACUCCCAUGUGCUCUGCAAGAACAACUCCCACCACCUUCACCAGAAGCUCCGUGCAGGGAAAAGGACUCAUCAAAAGAAAGAGGGGGUGGGGCGUUGGCUUAUCCUUAGGAGGCCAGAAGCGAGGUUCAUCAGAGGCUGCAGAAGUAAUGACAGACCCGAGACAGGCCGAGCUCACUUCAGUGUCUGUUCGGACUGGGGAUUUGUUGAUGACAUUACCCAGACUGCAGCGUUAGGAGAUGCCACCUAGCAGAGAUCUGAGUCACGAACUAACAUAAGAAAAGGCUACUAUGAACACUGACAAGACAUGUGGUAGAAAAUUAUAAUAAUGAUGACAGUGAUGAUGACAGCCAUCAUCUACUAAUAUCCCUGGUUUAAAAAAAAAUUUUUUUAGAGAUAAAGUCUUGCUAUGUUGCCCAGGC
rnacentral:lncRNA from 1 species